UGAAGGUCAGGCUGAAGACCUUACCGGAUUAGCUGAGAGGUGGUGCAUGGCCGUCGUCAGUUCGUACUGUGAAGCAUCCUGUUAAGUCAGGCAACGAGCGAGACCCACGUCCACAGUUGCCAGCAUACCCUCCGGGGUGAUGGGUACACUGUGGAGACCGCCGCUGCUAAAGCGGAGAGGAAUGGGCAACGUAGGUCAGUAUGCCCCGAAUCUCCCGGGCUACACGCGGGCUACAAUGGUUGGUACAAUGGGCAUCUACCCCGAAAGGGGAAGGAAAUCUCUUAAACCUGUCCUUAGUUCGGAUUGUGGGCUGCAACUCGCCCACAUGAAGCUGGAAUCUGUAGUAAUCGCGUCUCAAAAUGGCGCGGUGAAUAUGUCCCUGCUCCUU
rnacentral:rRNA from 1 species